rnacentral:rRNA from 1 species
GGAUUGACGCAUCGGUCGUGCCUUAAGGGGUAUGAACUGGUGUAGCCAAUUUCUCACCUUCUGGUGAAUUGUGACAUCCUUAAUUGGGUGUCUCAAUGAACUAGAAUUUUUUACUUUGAAAAAAUUAGAGUGUUUAAAGCAGGCAUUGAUUUGCUUGAAUACAUUAGCAUGGAAUAAUGAAAUAGGACGUGGUUCCGUUUUGUUGGUUUCUAGGAUCACGUA